GACGAACGCUGGCGGCGUGCCUAAUACAUGCAAGUCGAGCGAAUGAUAGGGAGCUUGCUCCUUAUCAUUAGCGGCGGACGGGUGAGUAACACGUGGGCAACCUGCCUAUAAGACUGGGAUAACUUCGGGAAACCGGAGCUGAUACCGGAUACGUUCUUUCUCGCAUGAGAGAAGAUGGAAAGACGGUCUCGGCUGUCACUUAUAGAUGGGCCGCGGCGCGAUUAGCUAGUUGGUGAGGUAAUGGCCACCAAGGCCACGAUGCGUAGCCGACCUGA
rnacentral:rRNA from 1 species